rnacentral:tRNA from 1 species
GCAGUCGUGGCCGAGUGGUUAAGGCGAUGGACUAGAAAUACAUUGGCGUCUUCCCGCACAGGUUCGAAUCCUGUCGACUGCG